rnacentral:misc_RNA from 1 species
ACGAUCCUGUUGCUUGCCGCCGGUCUUCGAGGCUGGCGUGUUACCGCCGUAAAGACUGCGGGCUGAGGAGAAAGCAAAUGAUCGCGAAUCGAGUUCGAGCGGUUUCGGGACUGAUGCUUUCCGCGCUGGUCUCCGCCUGCAGUGAUCAAGGUGGCGAUCCAUCAAAACAAUAUGGACCGAAUCCAGAGCUUCCCGAAGCGCACCAAUAUCUGGUGCCGCCCAUGAGCGUACCGCAGGCGGUUGGCUGGAAGACCGGGGAAGCGCCAAC